AAAUAACCAUCAAAAGAAAUGAUAUAUGUGGUUUCUGUUCUUUCAUUUCAUCAUGAAAACGUACAAAGAUUAUCCCAAUUCUAAUCAAAAUUAUUUCACUAACAUCUCUUUCAAAUGAAUGAAAAAAAUAAACAAAUCCCCCUAUUACCCUGGAUGAAGAAGAUUAAAGAGAGGGAAAAAAAAUGGCAAGCUUAAUCUAAACAAUGGAGUAUUGAAUGUUAAUGUCCAGGACCUCUUUUGCUUGGUCCGGAGGCUAAUCUAAAACCCAAGCUUCUAAACGAAUUACGACUAUUGCUGGAAUGGUCUGCUGCUGAUAAUGCACCGAAUGAUACCCCCAUCCUUCCCCCUUGUUCUUCGCAUCCUCCAACAACCAUCGUUGUUGAUCGAAGGGUUCGGCCAUGGACAGCGAUGGCCAACUCUGUUGAAACCAACAAUGCCAAUACACCCAUCAUCAAAACAAGACGCUGCAUUGAUGACGAGCUGUUCUUAGUCAUCCUCAACAUAUGAAAUAUAUGUAUAAAACUUAUUUGAGCUCUCACAAUAAAGGCUUUUGCCAAUUCUUUUAAAUUGGGUUGUCGUUGAAAUAUUGCUAUGGGUUUGCUAGCUAUCGCUGUAUAAUUAUAAAUAUAAGCGUCGAACUGGGUUGACGAGACGGAUUGAUUGACUCACCCUCAUCCGUUCCAAGCAUUGCUAAAUACUAUAUUUUAGGCGUACUUUUUCAUGGGUAGCUAAGGCAAAUAUUUACUUAUAAG
rnacentral:lncRNA from 1 species